rnacentral:lncRNA from 1 species
AAUGAGAAUGCUAAGGAUGAUGGCUUCCCCGAUGCCAAUGAAACAGUAAAAGCUAAUGAGAGUGAUACUAAGGAUGCUGUUUCAGAUGAUGAUGAUGAUGAUGAUCUUGAUGAUGGAAGGAGUGUCCUUGAAGCAAUGCUGUCAGGACGCAGAGGCAAGAAAAACCGAAGUUCUAAGGAUGUAUAUCCGGAAGAUGUUAAUGAGGGUGCCAAUGCUAUGGAUCAUGGGAGUCGGAAGAGUAAGAGGAGAGCGAAGAAAGAAAAGGGAAAG